CAGGCGCGUGUCCCGGGGGCUUGUGGAGGUCGAGGCAGAGGUGAACUUGCAGAGAGGACGGGAGGAGAGCCUGUCUGUGCCAGCUGGCCCCUGUCCCCGCUGACUGGACGGGGCGGGGCUGUUGGCUGUAACCUUUUACUAAACACCACCCCCCCAGAGCAGGGCGCUGGGAGCUGGAGGUGGAUCUGGCAGGAGGACUGGAGAGACAGCAGGGCUGGAGCUGGACCUGACAGCAGGACUGGGGAGCGCUGAAGGAGGAUCGCUGGAGUGAGAACGAAGCUACUGACGCAGUUAAAAACCAGGAUGGUGUAUGGAUUGAUAGUCCACAUAGGAGGUCCUCUCGAUCUCCACUGGCUGCCCCUGCCGGUCGUACAGCGCCAGCACGAAGUGGAAGAAGUUGGACUUGCGGAGGUUGGAGGGCGGCUGCUUCUCAUAGUAUCCCCACCUACACUGACUGCCUUUAAACUCAUAGUUUAUUUUCAAAACUAUAACUAAUGCAGAACUACGGAACAGAGUGGAGGGAGAACGAGGAAGAGGAACGUCGGGUGAGAAACAGGAGCCAUGUGGC